GUUCGAGCGUCAUUAACACCCAUCAAGCCUUGCUUGGUCUUGGGCGUCGGGAUCUCCCCGCGCCCCGAUUUCGCCGGCUAGACGAUCCCGAUCUCAAGCGUUGUGAUGAAUAAUCUCGCUAGAGGGACAGGUAGCCACGCCGUUAAACCUUUCAAUCAAAAGUUGACCUCGGAUCGGGUAGGAAUACCCGCUGAACUUAA
rnacentral:misc_RNA from 1 species